AGUGAACGCUGGCGGUAGGCCUAACACAUGCAAGUCGAACGGCAGCACAGUAAGAGCUUGCUCUUACGGUUGGCGAUUGGCGGACGGGUGAGGAAUACAUCGGAAUCUACUUUUUCGUGGGGGUUAACGUAGGGAAACUUACGCUAAUACCCCAUACGACCUACGGGUGAAAGAAGGGGAUCUUCGGACCUUGCCCGAUUGAUUGAGCCGAUGUCGGAUUAGCUAGUUGGCGGGGUAAAGGCCCACCAAGGCGACGAUCCGUAGCUGGUCUGAGAGGAUGAUCAGCCACACUGGAACUGAGACACGGUCCAGACUCCUACGGGAGGCAGCAGUGGGGAAUAUUGGACAAUGGGCGCAAGCCUGAUCCAGCCAUACCGCGUGGGUGAAGAAGGCCUUCGGGUUGUAAAGCCCUUUUGUUGGGAAAGAAAAGCAGCAGGUUAAUACCCCGCUGUUCUGACGGUACCCAAAGAAUAAGCACCGGCUAACUUCGUG
rnacentral:rRNA from 1 species